UUGACCUUACUUCAUAGGAUCAUUUCUAUAGUAAGUUCUUCACGAGACCACUAGGUUCUAUUGGCAGUGUUACAUUA
rnacentral:snoRNA from 1 species